GGCUCAGGACGAACGCUGGCGGCGUGCCUAAUACAUGCAAGUCGAGCGAGCUUGCCUAGAUGAUUUUAGUGCUUGCACUAAAUGAAACUAGAUACAAGCGAGCGGCGGACGGGUGAGUAACACGUGGGUAACCUGCCCAAGAGACUGGGAUAACACCUGGAAACAGAUGCUAAUACCGGAUAACAACACUAGACGCAUGUCUAGAGUUUGAAAGAUGGUUCUGCUAUCACUCUUGGAUGGACCUGCGGUGCAUUAGCUAGUUGGUAAGGUAACGGCUUACCAAGGCAAUGAUGCAUAGCCGAGUUGAGAGACUGAUCGGCCACAUUGGGACUGAGACACGGCCCAAACUCCUACGGGAGGCAGCAGUAGGGAAUCUUCCACAAUGGACGAAAGUCUGAUGGAGCAACGCCGCGUGAGUGAAGAAGGGUUUCGGCUCGUAAAGCUCUGUUGGUAGUGAAGAAAGAUAGAGGUAGUAACUGGCCUUUAUUUGACGGUAAUUACUUAGAGAGUCACGGCUAACUA
rnacentral:rRNA from 1 species